AGGCUGCAACUCGCCUGCAUGAAGUCGGAAUUGCUAGUAAUCGCAGAUCAGCAUGCUGUGGUGAAUACGUUCCCGGGCCUUGUACACACCGCCCGUCACACCAUGGGAGUCGGUAACACCCAAAGUUGGUAGUCUAACCGCAAGGAGGACGCCGCCUAAGGUGGGAUUGAUGACUGGGGUGAAGUCGUAACAAGGUAUC
rnacentral:rRNA from 1 species